CCUUCCUCGCAAUGCCGACAGCUCUCUCCCUCUUUCUUUUGUUCAUUCUCCAAUCAUCGACCAUCAAAUCUGGCGAUUAAGGGCUCUAAACUCAAGAGCUCGAUGAGAGGAACAAUUUGGUGGCGUUGGGUUGCAAGAUAAGGGUCUGGAUUGAGAAGAAACUCAAUCGAUGUGAAUCUUCACCGCUGCGAUUCCGUCUUUCCUACGAUCCAUGCUAUUUUCGGCAAGAUUAGGCCUCAAGGUGGGUCUCGAUCAACUCCACGCAAGCUUUUCCCCUCCAACAAUUCCAGUGACAAAUCUUGAAUGAUGGAAUCACCCUGGAUGGCAGCGGCGAGACUACUGUCGAGGCCAUUUAUGCCUAAAUGAGACACAAUCAGUCCAAAUUGAUCAUGGAUUCUGAGUCCCCAUGAGAUUUUGAGCAUUUUGGAGUAUGUGUUGCUUAAUGCUGACAAUCGGCAGUGGCAUUCCGGUGAUCGGCUGAUGAGACUCCGACAAGGCCAUAGGAGACAGAAUCCUGGUCUCAAUUUGGUCAAUGUGAUGGUGCUAACGAAAUUUCUAUCGGUGAGCCUUAGCCUUUGAUGCUAAAUUAAUGGUAGUAUUUGGUUAAGAGUUUAUCAAUCUAACUUAAUUGUUUCAGUUUAGCUAAACUGAAUGUAUAGCUAAAGCAAAAAAUAUUUAAAUGUUAGCUUAGCUGAGUUAGAUGAUCAAUUAACUUAAUCAAAGGGAAAGUUAGAAUAAAAAGAAUCUGAUAUCUAAUUACCAUUCUGGUGAGCACCCAUUUAUUAUUUAUAUAAUUCGAAUAG
rnacentral:lncRNA from 1 species